UUAGUUUUAUCUUCCAUAUGCCCAUAAUUCUUACACGUUUUGGUUUGCGAUGCUGGUACUGAUGCUAAUCUCUCUCUCUCUCUCUCUCUCUCUCUCUCUCUCUCUUCUGUGUCACACAUGAGGGCUGGUCGGCAAUUUAGAGAAGAUGUGGGACAGAAGAGAAGACAGAAGAGGUAAUUCUUAGGUUUUAAAGUGGCUGUGGUCUUUCACGCAUGGUUGGUGCUUUUGAGAUCUUGACCUGGGGGGCUGAACCUCGACAUCCUUCCCUGAAUUCUAGUUGCAUGGUUGGGAGAGUGUAUGGGCUUAAACAAUUUGGUCAGGGACACGGGCAGUGCUUUUCAGUUGAAAGAUAUGGAAAAUGUGUCUCAUGCUAUCCUCUGGGGAUUCUUUUAAAAACUUGAUUAUGUCAUGUAUCUGUAUUGUUAUAAGAUAUAACAAUACCCCAGACUUGUCAGUUAUUUCAUGCUUUAAUUGCAGCGAAGAAGAGAAUUUAUUGUAAGGUAUCAUCCCACAUAUGUGUUAAAUGAUUGGAGACUUCUAUUAUUCAUGAAAUGUAACUGGGUGCA